rnacentral:rRNA from 1 species
UCGAGGAUCUUCCGCAAUGGGCGAAAGCCUGAUCCAGCCAUGCCGCGUGUGUGAAGAAGGUCUUCGGAUUGUAAAGCACUUUAAGUUGGGAGGAAGGGCAGUUACCUAAUACGUGAUUGUUUUGACGUUACCGACAGAAUAAGCACCGGCUAACUCUGUGCCAGCAGCCGCGGUAAUACAGAGGGUGCAAGCGUUAAUCGGAAUUACUGGGCGUAAAGCGCGCGUAGGUGGUUAGUUAAGUUGGAUGUGAAAUCCCCGGGCUCAACCUGGGAACUGCAUUCAAAACUGACUGACUAGAGUAUGGUAGAGGGUGGUGGAAUUUCCUGUGUAGCGGUGAAAUGCGUAGAUAUAGGAAGGAACACCAGUGGCGAAGGCGACCACCUGGACUGAUACUGACACUGAGGUGCGAAAGCGUGGGGAG